ACGAACGCUGGCGGCGCGCCUAACACAUGCAAGUCGAACGAGCGAGAGAGAGCUUGCUUUCUUGAGCGAGUGGCGAACGGGUGAGUAACGCGUGAGGAACCUGCCUCAAAGAGGGGGACAACAGUUGGAAACGACUGCUAAUACCGCAUAAGCCCACGACCCGGCAUCGGGUAGAGGGAAAAGGAGUGAUCCGCUUUGAGAUGGCCUCGCGUCCGAUUAGCUAGUUGGUGAGGUAACGGCCCACCAAGGCGACGAUCGGUAGCCGGACUGAGAGGUUGAACGGCCACAUUGGGACUGAGACACGGCCCAGACUCCUACGGGAGGCAGCAGUGGGGAAUAUUGCACAAUGGGGGAAACCCUGAUGCAGCGACGCCGCGUGGAGGAAGAAGGUCUUCGGAUUGUAAACUCCUGUUGUUGAGGAAGAUAAUGACGGUACUCAACAAGGAAGUGACGGCUAACUACGUGCCAGCCGCCGCGGUAACAC
rnacentral:rRNA from 1 species